GUGAACCCUGAUCUUCUCUAGUGUUUCGUGCAACAACAGGUGUGGAAAGCUAAGCUUUUGUUUUCUUCUGUUCAUCAGUGAGUCAUCUGAACCACAAGGUACUACUUCCUUUGUUUAAAAAGUGGAUAACAUUGCCACUAUGCCACAUGUAUUACAUUGACAGUAUCCCAAAAAAUAUCACUACUAACUUGCUUGGCCCCCCAAAACAUAUAACAGAGGAUCUUAUUAAGCACCUCAGACCAGUAAAAAAACAUGUGUUGGCUGCUUUGAAUUAGUAGAAAUAUCAUAUUAUUGGAUUCAAUUUUAAACAGACAUCUUCCCCAUGUAGUUGCAGGCUGCAUGAAAAAUCUUCAUAGCAGGAAGCAAGGAAAGCGAAUGAAGUAACUCGAGGGAACUAUAGACCACACAAGUUCAAGUCCACUAAAUCAAGUUUUAUUUUUGAAGACCAGUAAUUGGACUUCUGAAUCCACUACUACUGAAAAUCAUUUUUUUUAUAGAAAAAAUAUAUGAACUGUUACUGCUUGUGCCACUGCAUUAGUUAGACAUUACUCUUUCAACUUC
rnacentral:lncRNA from 1 species